rnacentral:rRNA from 1 species
GAUGAACGCUGGCGGCGUGCCCAAUACAUGCAAGUCGAGCGAAUGGAUUAAGAGCUUGCUCUUAUGAAGUUAGCGGCGGACGGGUGAGUAACACGUGGGUAACCUGCCCAUAAGACUGGGAUAACUCCGGGAAACCGGGGCUAAUACCGGAUAACAUUUUGAACCGCAUGGGUCGAAAUUGAAAGGCGGCCUCGGCUGUCACUUCUGGAUGGACCCGCGUCGCAUUAGCUAGUUGGUGAGGUAACGGCUCACCAAGGCAACGAUGCGUAGCCGACCUGAGAGGGUGAUCGGCCACACUGGGACUGAGACACGGCCCAGACUCCUACGGGAGGCAGCAGUAGGGAAUCUUCCGCAAUGGACGAAAGUCUGACGGAGCAACGCCGCGUGAGUGAUGAAGGCUUUCGGGUCGUAAAACUCUGUUGUUAGGGAAGAACAAGUGCUAGUUGAAUAAGCUGGCACCUUGACGGUACCUAACCAGAAAGCCACGGCUAACUACGUGCCAGCCGCCGCGGUAA